AAAAGCCCCCCUAGUUGUGUGGGAGGGAUUUUCACCCCCCCGGGGAAAUGGCCCCGGUCCCGCUUCCUUGCGGGGGCCCACAGGGGGAAUUUUCCCAAAGGGAGGAAAUCUUGGAACCAACCACCGCGGGGGGGAGGAUGACCCAUUUCGGGGGGAAAACUCCUUUUUAUAGGGGGAGAUAAGGCGGGUUCCCAUAAGAAAUAAGCACCGGGUUAAUUCCGGGCCCAACAGCCGCGGUAAUACGGAGGGUGCAAGCGUUACUCGGAAUCACUGGGCGUAAAGCGCGCGCAGGCGGCCUGAUAAGUUGGAUGUGAAAGCCUACGGCUCAACCGUAGAACUGCAUCCAAAACCUGUCAGGCUAGAGUGUGGGAGAGGAAGAUGGAAUUAGUUGUGUAGGGGUAAAAUCCGUAGAGAUAACUAGGAAUACCAAAAGCGAAGGCAAUCUUCUGGAACACUACUGACGCUGAGGCGCGAAAGCGUGGGGAGCAAACGGGAUUAGAUACCCCGGUAGUCCACGCAGUAAACGAUGAAUGUUAGUCGUCGGGUAGCUAGUCUAUUCGGUGAUGCAGCUAAUGCAUUAAACAUUCCGCCUGGGGAGUACGGUCGCAAGAUUAAAACUCAAAGGAAUAGACGGGGACCCGCACAAGUGGUGGAGCAUGUGGUUUAAUUCGAAGAUACGCGAAGAACCUUACCUAGCCUUGACAUAUAUUAGAAUCUUUCAGAGAUGAGAGAGUGCCUUCGGGAGCUUUUAUACAGGUGCUGCACGGCUGUCGUCAGCUCGUGUCGUGAGAUGUUGGGUUAAGUCCCGCAACGAGCGCAACCCUCGUCACUAGUUACUAACGGUUCGGCCGAGGACUCUAGUGAGACUGCCUUCGCAAGGAGGAGGAAGGUGAGGACGACGUCAAGUCAUCAUGGCCCUUACGGCUAGGGCAACACACGUGCUACAAUGGUUGGGACAAUGAGGCGCGAUACCGCGAGGUGGAGCAAAUCUAUAAACCCAAUCUCAGUUCGGAUUGUUCUCUGCAACUCGAGAGCAUGAAGCUGGAAUCACUAGUAACCGUAGAUCAGCUAUGCUACGGUGAAUACGUUCCCGGGUCUUGUACUCACCGCCCGUCACACCAUGGGAGUUGAUUUCACCCGAAGCGGGGAAGCUAAACUGGCUACCCUCCACGGUGGAAUUAGCGACUGGGGUGAAGUCGUAACAAGGUACC
rnacentral:rRNA from 1 species